rnacentral:rRNA from 1 species
GAUGAACGCUGGCGGCGUGCCUAAUACAUGCAAGUCGAGCGAACAGACGAGGAGCUUGCUCCUCUGACGUUAGCGGCGGACGGGUGAGUAACACGUGGAUAACCUACCUAUAAGACUGGGAUAACUUCGGGAAACCGGAGCUAAUACCGGAUAAUAUAUUGAACCGCAUGGUUCAAUAGUGAAAGACGGUUUUGCUGUCACUUAUAGAUGGAUCCGCGCCGCAUUAGCUAGUUGGUAAGGUAACGGCUUACCAAGGCAACGAUGCGUAGCCGACCUGAGAGGGUGAUCGGCCACACUGGAACUGAGACACGGUCCAGACUCCUACGGGAGGCAGCAGUAGGGAAUCUUCUGCAAUGGGCGAAAGCCUGACGGAGCAACGCCGCGUGAGUGAUGAAGGUCUUCGGAUCGUAAAACUCUGUUAUUAGGGAAGAACAAAUGUGUAAGUAACUAUGCACGUCUUGACGGUACCUAAUCAGAAAGCCACCGCUAACUACGUG